GACGAACGCUGGCGGCGUGCUUAACACAUGCAAGUCGAACGGUAAGGCCCUUCGGGGUACACGAGUGGCGAACGGGUGAGUAACACGUGGGUGAUCUGCCCUGCACUUCGGGAUAAGCCUGGGAAACUGGGUCUAAUACCGGAUAGGACCACUGCCUGCAUGGGGGGUGGGGGAAAGCUUUGCGGUGUGGGAUGGGCCCGCGGCCUAUCAGCUUGUUGGUGGGGUGAUGGUCUACCAAGGCGACGACGGGUAGCCGGCCUGAGAGGGUGACCGGCCACACUGGGACUGAGAUACGGCCCAGACUCCUACGGGAGGCAGCAGUGGGGAAUAUUGCACAAUGGGCGCAAGCCUGAUGCAGCGACGCCGCGUGAGGGAUGACGGCCUUCGGGUUGUAAACCUCUUUCAGCACCGACGAAGCGCAAGUGACGGUAGGUGCAGAAGAAGGACCGGCCAACUACAUGCCAGCCGCCGCCGUAA
rnacentral:rRNA from 1 species